UUAGAAUAAAAAGUGGGUAGGUAUAUCAGACACAUACACCUGUUUAAUAACAUUGUUAUUAUUAAAAUGGCACUCCUACCACUAAAGGGAUUAAAAAAAGGGACCAAUGUAAACUUAACGCUUGUUCUAAUAUUAUAGAGAAAUUUGUUAGUCUUCUCAACACCCUCUAGUACAUUUCUUAUUGUUACCACAUAUAAACUCCAUUGCAAGUCAGUUCCACAUAGCUCAAAGUUCUAAGUUUAUAAGUCGACUGUAUCCAGGUUCGAUUUGUUACUCGCAACUACAAAACGCGGUAAAGGACGUCCGCAGCUUCCGAGGAACGACCAGCUGACCAACGAUUUGAAGUCGUUUGGUACUACCAACUGGCGACAGCAAACCAUUAAUCUAGCUGGCUGGCGGAGGCGUUCGACGCAACCAAAGGCAACUCACGUCUGUAAUGGCCAACUAAGUAGAACGUUAUCAAUAGACAAGUAUCUUUUAAUAACAAUAAAUCCGGAUGAAAGCACAACCGUAACGCAAUGUAAACGACACGAAUCCCCAAAAACACUAAUUUGUAGAAAUGAUUUUUGUUAAUAUGUGUCUAUUAAAUUCUAUUUGUUAUCAGUGUUUUUUUAACCAUAUGAGAAUUGACAUUUCUAUAUGAGUAUCCAAUCUGAUUUUUAUACUCUUGAUUUCUUUAAG